rnacentral:rRNA from 1 species
UACGUAGGGUGCGAGCGUUAAUCGGAUUUACUGGGCGUAAAGCGAGCGUAGGUGGCUUGAUAAGUCAGAUGUGAAAUCCCCGGGCUUAACCUGGGAACUGCAUCUGAUACUGUCAGGCUAGAGUAGGUGAGAGGAAGGUAGAAUUCCAGGUGUAGCGGUGAAAUGCGUAGAGAUCUGGAGGAAUACCGAUGGCGAAGGCAGCCUUCUGGCAUCAUACUGACACUGAGGCUCGAAAGCGUGGGUAGCAAACAGG